GAUGAACGCUGGCGGCGUGCCUAAUACAUGCAAGUCGAGCGAACGGACGAGAAGCUUGCUUCUCUGAUGUUAGCGGCGGACGGGUGAGUAACACGUGGAUAACCUACCUAUAAGACUGGGAUAACUUCGGGAAACCGUAGCUAAUACCGGAUAAUAUUUUGAACCGCAUGGUUCAAAAGUGAAAGACGGUCUUGCUGUCACUUAUAGAUGGAUCCGCGCUGCAUUAGCUAGUUGGUAAGGUAACGGCUUACCAAGGCAACGAUGCAUAGCCAACCUGAGAGGGUGAUCGGCCACACUGGAACUGAGACACGGUCCAGACUCCUACGGGAGGCAGCAGUAGGGAAUCUUCCGCAAUGGGCGAAAGCCUGACGGAGCAACGCCGCGUGAGUGAUGAAGGUCUUCGGAUCGUAAAACUCUGUUAUUAGGGAAGAACAUAUGUGUAAGUAACUGUGCACAUCUUGACGGUACCUAAUCAGAAAGCCACGGCUAACUACGUG
rnacentral:rRNA from 1 species